rnacentral:rRNA from 1 species
GAUGAACGCUGGCGUCGUGCCUAAUACAUGCAAGUCGAGCGAACAGACGAGGAGCUUGCUCCUCUGACGUUAGCGGCGGACGGGUGAAUAACACGUGGAUAACCUACCUAUAAGACUGGGAUAACUUCGGGAAACCGGAGCUAAUACCGGAUAAUAUAUUGAACCGCAUGGUUCAAUAGUGAAAGACGGUUUUGCUGUCACUUAUAGAUGGAUCCGCGCCGCAUUAGCUAGUUGGUAAGGUAACGGCUUACCAAGGCAACGAUGCGUAGCCGACCUGAGAGGGUGAUCGGCCACACUGGAACUGAGACACGGUCCAGACUCCUACGGGAGGCAGCAGUAGGGAAUCUUCCGCAAUGGGCGAAAGCCUGACGGAGCAACGCCGCGUGAGUGAUGAAGGUCUUCGGAUCGUAAAACUCUGUUAUUAGGGAAGAACAAAUGUGUAAGUAACUAUGCACGUCUUGACGGUACCUAAUCAGAAAGCCACGGCUAACUACGU